rnacentral:rRNA from 1 species
UACGUAGGGGGCGAGCGUUGUCCGGAUUUAUUGGGCGUAAAGGGCUCGUAGGCGGUUUGUCGCGUCGGGAGUGAAAACACGGGGCUUAACCCCGUGCCUGCUUCCGAUACGGGCAGACUAGAGGUAUGCAGGGGAGAACGGAAUUCCUGGUGUAGCGGUGAAAUGCGCAGAUAUCAGGAGGAACACCGGUGGCGAAGGCGGUUCUCUGGGCAUUACCUGACGCUGAGGAGCGAAAGUGUGGGGAGCGAACAGG